UCCAGGUUUGCUUACACUACACAGCACCUUGGGUAAGUGCCUUAUAUCAUAGUCUUAAGUUGACCAAAACCUAAGAUUCUAAAAUACAACACAUAAUAUGCUGUAUUUUAGAGUGUAAAUAUCAUGAUAAUCAUCAUCAUCAUCAUUUAACGUCCGCUUUCCA